UACGUAGGGGGCAAGCGUUGUCCGGAAUCAUUGGGCGUAAAGAGCGUGUAGGCGGCCCGGUAAGUCCGCUGUGAAAGUCCAGGGCUCAACCCUGGGAUGCCGGUGGAUACUGUCGGGCUCGAGUCCGGAAGAGGAGUGUGGAAUUCCUGGUGUAGCGGUGAAAUGCGUAGAGAUCAGGAGGAACACCCGUGGCGAAGGCGGCCCUCUGGCUCGACCCUGACGCUGAGAGGCGAAAGCGUGGGGAGCGAACGGG
rnacentral:rRNA from 1 species